rnacentral:rRNA from 1 species
UACGUAGGGUGCAAGCGUUAUCCGGAAUUAUUGGGCGUAAAGAGCUCGUAGGCGGUUUGUCGCGUCUGCUGUGAAAACUGGAGGCUCAACCUCCAGCCUGCAGUGGGUACGGGCAGACUAGAGUGCGGUAGGGGAGAUUGGAAUUCCUGGUGUAGCGGUGGAAUGCGCAGAUAUCAGGAGGAACACCGAUGGCGAAGACAGAUCUCUGGGCCGUAACUGACGCUGAGGAGCGAAAGCAUGGGGAGCGAACAGG